rnacentral:rRNA from 1 species
CCUACGGGUGGCAGCAGUGAGGAAUAUUGGUCAAUGGACGAGAGCCUGAACCAGCCAAGUAGCGUGAAGGAUGACGGCCCUAUGGGUUGUAAACUGCUUUUAUAUGGGAAUAAAAUGUUCCACGUGUGGGGGUUUGUAUGUACCAUAUGAAUAAGGAUCGGCUAACUCCGUGCCAGCAGCCGCGGUAAUACGGAGGAUCCGAGCGUUAUCCGGAUUUAUUGGGCUUAAAGGGAGCGUAGGUGGAUUGUUAAGUCAGUUGUGAAAGUUUGCGGCUCAACCGGAGAAUUGCAGUUGAAACUGGCAGUCUUGAGUACAGUAGAGGUGGGCGGAAUUCGUGGUGUAGCGGUGAAAUGCUUAGAUAUCACGAAGAACUCCGAUUGCGAAGGCAGCUCACUGGACUGCAACUGACGCUGAGGCUCGAAAGUGUGGGUAUCAAACAGGAUUAGAUACCCCGGUAGUC